rnacentral:rRNA from 1 species
UACGGAGGGGGCUAGUGUUACUCAUAUUGAUUGGGCGUAAAGGGUAUGUAGGCUGUUUUUUAGUUAGAGCGAAAAUCCUAUGAUUGCCAUUAUAGAAGUGUUCUAAAACAAAUUAACUUAGAGUUUAAAAAGGAUAACAGUACUUCUAGUCUAGGGGUAAAAUCUGCUGCGGAUUAGAGGGACUAUCGCGGGCGAAGGCGGUUAUCUAGUUUAAUACUGACGCUGAGGUACGAAGGUGUGGGUAGUCAAUGGGAUUAG